rnacentral:rRNA from 1 species
GACGAACGCUGGCGGCGUGCUUAACACAUGCAAGUAGAACGAAGUGGCGAACGGGUGAGUAACGCGUAAUCAACCUGCCCUUCAGUGGGGGACAACAGUUGGAAACGACUGCUAAUACCGCAUACUGAAGGAGGGGAUUGCGUCUGAUUAGAUAGUUGAAGGGGUAACGGCCCACCAAGGCGAUGAUCAGUAGCCGGUCGGAGAUGAUGAGCUACCCCCUUGGGACUGAGACACGGCCCAGACUCCUACUCAGUACAACACUAAUCAAUCUUACGCAAUAUACGAAAGUCGGACGAAGCAAAGCCGCGUGAGUGAUGACGACCUUCGGGUUAUCAAACUCUGUUAAUCGGGACGCGGUACCGAAAUAGAAAGCCACGGCUAAAUACGUGCCAGCAGCCGCGGUAAUAC